GGGUCGUUAGCUCAGCUGGUAGAGCAUCGGACUUUUAAUCCGCUGGUCGAGGGUUCGAGUCCCUCACGACCCACCA
rnacentral:tRNA from 1 species